AUGUUUGUCCUCACUUGCUUUUAGAUGCAGAUGGAUAAAAUCCAUGGCAGAGCACCCCAUCCCAGGAAGUAAAGCCACAUAUCAGAAGUAAAGGCGAGGUGGUCAAGGCAAUCCAUUUGGAGUAUGCAUGACUCCCCGUCACACACUGGCCGAUGGACUGUGAUCAUUGCUCUCGUGAGCCCUGUGGAAGUAUUACAGGACUUGGUGAUGAAGCCUCUGCCUUUCCUAUUUAAAGGUGUCACCCGGGUAGCCUUUGGCCGCGGCUGAGGAGUUGCAGCGGACCCUGCGAUGACGGCGUCAGCCUCCGAGCGCAGCCGAAGCGUGCGGCAUUCAUAAGGGACCCAGGCAUUGCUAGGGGAAUGGUGAGUAGCAGAAUUGUUGGGUUUUGGCUGAUGUGCUGCCACGAUAGAGCAUUGAUGCUCUGUUUUCUCGAAUGCAGCUGACUAAGAGACAAUGGCCCGGUGACAGCAGGAACUUCCCAGACGGCGAGGGGAGGUCUUUUGCACCUGACACGGAGCGGCAUCUGCAGAUAAGUCGAGGGCUAUGACCCACAGAGGGGAUGAUAGUGGGGUGCUGGGUUGGGACUUACAGGGAGGGAUUUUUGAGUCUGCUUUGGAGUUGGGGAUGUCCAAGAAGUGGCCCCUUAGGCCACAGAAAAGCCAAGUGUCACUUUUGAUCCCAGUGCUGAGGUGCUCAGGGCAGAGCAGUCCCGGAGGGUAUCGUGUCACUUGUCUAUUGUGCGUUCUGUGUGUUUGGCUUUCUCAUGUCUUUUACCUUAGCCCUUUGAGGGGCCUAUCAGAAACCCUGGCAUCAUUCUUAGCAUCUGCAAUCUCUGCAUUUCUUGGCCUGGCACCAAUGCCACAGGACUUUUGACUCAGGAGCUCAGAUAGGCAUCAGAAUUGCACCUCUCUUUAGAAGCAUCCAGUCAGAUGUCUUUGCAGGUCUUGUUCUGAGCUGUAUGUACCUUGCAAGGAUCCAUUAUUGCAGAUUAGGACUUGUAAGAAUGCGAGGAUAGGUAGAGGAUUCUGACUAUAGAAUUCACAGGCAUCCAUCUUUGCAGUUCUUAAAACAAAUCAUUCAGUUAGCAUCUUCUUCCUACCAGGGUUCUCUGAGCCUCAUCGGCUCACCAUCGGUCUCACCUCAGUCCUCUCAUUUUGCAUUCUCUCAGUCCUUGCAGUCAUUCUUCUUGCCAAGAGAUUCCUGUCCCUGUUGUGUCCCCCUUGUUUGUCCUGUCCUGUGUCACGGGUGUCUGCACGUAUUUGUGCCGGAGCUGCUCUGCCCUGCUGCUUAGUCUGGUGUAAUAGGACAAAUCCUGGGGGCUUGAAAUUUGUAGUGUGGGGUGUAGUUUGACUCUAGAUAGUAUUCCUAGGUUGACCCAAGCUGUCUGGAGCUGUGAAGUGGUCCUGCAGCCCUUUGACCUUUGUCCUAACUUUCUUUCAGAUGCAGAUGGAUAAAAUCCAUGGCAGAGCGCCCCAUCCCAGGAAGUAAAGUGAUAGAGCAACAGUCAAGUUGAAGUGGUCAAGGCAAUCUACUCAGGUUAUGCCAAGCCCCUGUCACCAACCAGCCGAUUGACCAGGUUUGCUGCUCUCAUGAGCCCUGUGGAGGUAUUGCAGGACCCUGUGAUGAAGCCUUGAAAUUUUCUAUUUAAAGGUUGCUUCUGGGUAGCCCUCAGGAAUGGCCGAGGAGUCGUGGUGAGUCGGGGAGGUAUCGAGGAGAAGCCGGGGUCCACUCA